rnacentral:tRNA from 1 species
GCCGCGGUGGUGGAAUUGGCAGACACGCUAGACUUAGGAUCUAGUGCCGUUAAGGUGUGUGGGUUCGAAUCCCGCCCGCGGCACAA